rnacentral:rRNA from 1 species
CUUUUCUAUGGAAGCUUGCUUCCACUGAGAAGAUAGUGGCGGACGGGUGAGUAACACGUGGGUAACCUGCCCAUAAGAGGGGGAUAACAUCCGGAAACGGGUGCUAAUACCGCAUAGUUUUCUUGAUCGCAUGAUUGAGAAAGGAAAGACGGCCUUUGUGCUGUCGCUUAUGGAUGGACCCGCGGCGUAUUAGUUAGUUGGUGAGGUAACGGCUCACCAAGACGAUGAUACGUAGCCGACCUGAGAGGGUGAUCGGCCACAUUGGGACUGAGACACGGCCCAAACUCCUACGGGAGGCAGCAGUAGGGAAUCUUCCGCAAUGGACGAAAGUCUGACGGAGCAACGCCGCGUGAGUGAAGAAGGUUUUCGGAUCGUAAAACUCUGUUGUCAGAGAAGAACAAGUCGGAGAGUAACUGCUCCGGCCUUGACGGUAUCUGACCAGAAAGCCACGGCUAACUACGUGCCAGCAGCCGCGGUAAUACGUAGGUGGCAAGCGUUGUCCGGAUUUAUUGGGCGUAAAGCGAGCACAGGCGGUUCCUUAAGUCUGAUGUGAAAGCCCACGGCUCAACCGUGGAAGGUCAUUGGAAACUGGGGAACUUGAGUGCAGAAGAGGAGAGUGGAAUUCCAUGUGUAGCGGUGAAAUGCGUAGAUAUAU